rnacentral:rRNA from 1 species
UAGGGAAUCUUCGGCAAUGGACGAAAGGCUGACCGAGCAACGCCGCGUGAGUGAAGAAGGUUUUCGGAUCGUAAAACUCUGUUGUUAGAGAAGAACAAGGACGUUAGUAACUGAACGUCCCCUGACGGUAUCUAACCAGAAAGCCACGGCUAACUACGUGCCAGCAGCCGCGGUAAUACGUAGGUGGCAAGCGUUGUCCGGAUUUAUUGGGCGUAAAGCGAGCGCAGGCGGUUUCUUAAGUCUGAUGUGAAAGCCCCCGGCUCAACCGGGGAGGGUCAUUGGAAACUGGGGGACUUGAGUGCAGAAGAGGAGAGUGGAAUUCCAUGUGUAGCGGUGAAAUGCGUAGGUAUAUGGAGGAACACCAGUGGCGAAGGCGGCUCUCUGGUCUGUAACUGACGCUGAGGCUCGAAAGCGUGGGGAGCAAACAGG